AACGAACGCUGGCGGCGUGGAUAAGACAUGCAAGUCGCACGGGAUAUUUCUGGUAGCAAUAUUAGAAAUGUCCAGUGGCGCAAGGGUGCGUAACACGUGGGCAAUCUACCGAGAAGUGGGGGAUAGCUCGCCGAAAGGCGAAUUAAUACCGCAUGUGGCCAGGAAGGACAUCCUUCCGACGCCAAAGCCGGGGCAACCUGGCGCUUCUUGAUGAGCCCGCGGCCUAUCAGCUAGUUGGUGAGGUAACGGCUCACCAAGGCUAUGACGGGUAGCUGGUCUGAGAGGACGACCAGCCACACUGGAACUGAGACACGGUCCAGACACCUACGGGUGGCAGCAGUCGAGAAUUUUUCUCAAUGGGCGCAAGCCUGAAGGAGCGACGCCGCGUGGAGGAUGAAGGUCUUCGGAUUGUAAACUCCUGUCAUUAGGGAACAAAACUUCCGGUUAACUGCCGUGGAGUCUGAUAGUACCUGAAGAGGAAGAGACGGCUAACUCUGUGCCAGCAGCCGCCGUAACAC
rnacentral:rRNA from 1 species